CUCCCGCCGGCGACCGGCGCACGGGUGAGUAACACGUAUGAAACCUGCCCGUAGCAGGGGGAUAAGCGGAAGAAAUUCCGUCUAAUACCGCGUAACAACCCGAGAGGCAUCUCCUCGGGUUUAAAGGAAGCGAUUCCGGCUACGGAUGGUCAUGCGUCGCAUUAGCUAGUUGGCGGGGUAACGGCCCACCAAGGCGACGAUGCGUAGGGGUUCUGAGAGGAAGGUCCCCCACACUGGUACUGAGACACGGACCAGACUCCUACGGGAGGCAGCAG
rnacentral:rRNA from 1 species